GGACACGCCCUCUUCGGCCCUGGGAGUGAAGGGAGUGGAGGCGGAACCUGAAGUAGGUGCUAAGGCCGCAGAGGCUGGGAAUUUAGGUCGUUUUUGUUUGCUUUUUCAAUGGAGCUGACGAAUGUAGCUCAGGAUCUUGUAUGAAGUAGUUUUACGACAUUUACACUCUACCUGACCGGAAGCAGUUCUCGAGGCUGAGAAGUCCAGGAUCAAGGCGAUGGCAGAUUCAUUGUUGGGGUUCCUGUCACACAGCUACACAGAGGCCCAUCCACCCGGCUUGUGCAAAUCUGCUCACACCCUCCGUUGUCCUCACACCAGUCCAGCCCUGAAGAAAGAGCCGAUGGACAAGUUACCUGCAGACAAUCCAACUCUCCAACUGGAGUACUUUUCUGAAUCACAGAGGGACACUGCGCAGUGAAGGUGGACUUCGUCAUAAUCCCCAAUGAACUUGAAGACCGUGACGUGAAAGCGACAGCACCAGUCUCUGGCUCUCCUUCCUGUAUAAACAUGCCCUGACCAGACAGGAGCCGUGGCUUUUCCUGGAUUUGCCCAUAGCACCCAGCUGAGCCCCUGGAGUGCAGGAACCAAGGUGUAAUCCUGAUGGGGUCUGCAACACACUGAGUAGAACGUACUCCAGGGGAGGAGUAUACCUGCCAGUCGCACUGAUUCAGGGCUUGGCUGUGUGACUUGCUUUGGUCUCCUGGAACCCUCAGAGGGUCAAGAAAAACUCCUCAAAGGCCAGGAAAUUUAAUGCUGCAUCUCUUCCAAAUACAGAAGAAACCGAUUCCAGAAAGGCUAAUCAUACUCCUUCGAAUCCGGGUUGGAAGGAAUGCUCACUCCUGGAGGUUCCAGUGCUGAAAGAAUGCCAGUGUCUAAUGAGGUCAUUGUGAGGGCAGAGACAGAGACAGAGGGACAGGGACAGAGAGAGCAAGGGGGUCUUGACAGCAUCUCGCUCCCUGGACCCAGUCAUCCCCACAGCCACAUCUACUGAUGUGGUUUGGUUCUGUAACCAUUAGCUGCCUUGUUUUUGCAUAAACUAGUGUGAAAUGGUCUCUACUACUCAUAAGACGAAGAAUUUUGAUGAAUGCAGGCAUCUGCUUUAAGCAUUAUUGUAUUGGGGUGAUGGAAAUGGUCCAAAAUUAGAUUUUGGUGAUGGCUGUGCUCCUCUGUAGAUUUACUAAAAAUCAUUGACUUUUACACCUAAAGCAAGUUAUGGUUUUUUU